UGAAAGGGCACUUUUCCUAGAGAGUCAUCGGAAUUGUUUUGGUUGGAUAGAUGAGUGGUUUGGGAUGACAGUGCAACAAUUACGUGAACUUGAAGAACAAACCAAUUCCUCAUUAGAUGUGGUAAGAAGGUCCUAGAUUCCAGAAAACGAUGUCAUCUAUUUUUUUAUUAUUAUUAUUAUUUUUGCAUGGUAAAAAGGUAAAAUUUCAUCAGGCACCAACUUAUCCCAUGAUAUGAAUUUUCUGCUUUCCAUGGUUGACUUGGAUAGAUCUGGUUAAGGGUGCUCAGUUCUCUCUCAUCGAUGUCCUAUAGAGAGUUCACUAUUGUUUCAAAUGAGCAUCCUUCCUGAAUUUGAUAGGGAAUAAAUCCUUGUCAAAUUGUGACAAAUUAGCUAAUGGGUCAUGUUUAUCUCCUCUUGACAAAUAUAAAUGUUCCUGCCUCAAAUUCCUGCACUGAUGUUUUGGGUUGUGCCAUUUAUUUAUGUGGCAUCCAGAGACUUCUCCAGAAUGAGAUUUAUUCUAUUGUUUUCCCUCUGGGUUUGGAUCGAUAAUUUAGAAUUUAGAUGUAAAUUUCCCAAAACAUUUAGGGGAAAGUGAUGCAGGGCAUGAGAUAUGCAAUGGAGCUCAAGGGGUUUAUCCUUGAGGAGAAACACAGACAUGAAAAACCAAAGCACUAUUUCCAAAUGUUGUAGCAAUGCAAAUAGAUUCAUUGACCAAGGGUCACAUUGAAAAUAUAUUUGGUAAUUUUUUGACAAAAAACAGAUUUUUGAGAACUUGUUUUCUUUGUGAUGUUUUAAAAACUAAUUAUACAAAUAGGGAGAAAAGUUAAGAACAUUCCAAGUUUCAAAACAGAUUUUCAUUGUAGAAAACAUAAGCAUACCAUUUUUGAAAAUUGAACUGUUUUUUAAAACGUUCCCAAACAGGUUCUUGCAUGUGAAAGUUCAUAUUCAAUGUGCUUCAUGUGUCUCAUAAUUUCAAUAGUUGAGGUUCAUGAAUCUUGCCUUUCUGAUCUUUGAAGUUGGCAACAUGAUCUGAUUUUCACUGAUUGUUCCCUUCUGGAAACAGAAAACAAGUACAAAAGAUUUGGACAGAAGAUGGGCAUGUGACAAAGAAGAAGAAGAAGUGUAUAUGAAGAAGCCCCAGCUUAACUCUGAGCAGCAAGGGUUGGUGAAU
rnacentral:lncRNA from 1 species